CCUACGGGUGGCUGCAGUGGGGAAUAUUGUACAAUGGGGGCAACCCUGAUCCAGCCAUGCCGCGUGUGUGAAAAAGGCCCUCGGGUUGUAAAGCACUUUCAGUGAGGAAGAACGCCUGGUGGUUAAUACCCAUCAGGAAAGACAUCACUCACAGAAGAAGCACCGGCUAACUCCGUGCCAGCAGCCGCGGUAAUACGGAGGGUGCGAGCGUUAAUCGGAAUUACUGGGCGUAAAGCGCGCGUAGGUGGCUUGAUAAGCCGGUUGUGAAAGCCCCGGGCUCAACCUGGGAACGGCAUCCGGAACUGUCAAGCUAGAGUGCAGGAGAGGAAGGUAGAAUUCCCGGUGUAGCGGUGAAAUGCGUAGAGAUCGGGAGGAAUACCAGUGGCGAAGGCGGCCUUCUGGACUGACACUGACACUGAGGUGCGAAAGCGUGGGUAGCAAACAGGAUUAGAUACCCGGGUAGUC
rnacentral:rRNA from 1 species